AUGGAAGCAGCAGCAGACGAGGAGAGGCCCCUGCUACAUCUGCAACCGCUGCUUAAUCAGGAUGUAGGUUCAGAAUACACCAGCGAUGGAUCUGUUGACAUCAACAAUCAGCCUGCUCUGAAGCACAACACAGGCAAUUGGAGGGCGUGCUACAUGAUUUUAGGCGUCGAGUUUUGCGAAUGCGUCGCCUUCUUUGCAAUCGCGUCCAACUUGGUGACCUACCUCACCACGGUGCUCCACGAAAGCAAGGUCGCCGCCGCGCGGGAUGUCUCUGCCUGGGUUGGCGCAUGCUUCCUCGCGCCACUUAUUGGGGCCUUCUUGGCUGACACAUAUCUGGGAAGAUACUGUAUGAUGGUUGUUUUCCUUCCGGUCUACACCAUUGGGAUGCUCGUGCUCACGGUCUCAGCAUCAGUCCCGACAUCCUACUACCAUGGUGAUGUUCAUCAUGCUGUGGUGGUGUACCUAGGACUUUAUCUUGCCGGGCUUGGGAGCGCUGGCAUCAAACCCUGCGCGUCGGCCUUCGGCGCCGACCAGUUCGACAGCGAGGACCUGACAGAGCUGGAGAAGAAGGGCUCCUUCUUCAACUGGUACUACUUCCUGCUCAAUCUCGGCUCCCUUCUGUCGAGCACACUGCUUGUUUGGCUGCAGGACAAUGGUUGGUGGGGGCUCAGUUUCGCGAUCCCAACGGUGCUCAUGGCUUUGGGCCUAGCAGUGUUUGUUGGUGGCUCCAGAGUGUACAGGAAGUGGCAUGUGCAACUGCCAGAUGAUAUAUCGUCCUUGUACGAGCCGACCAGUUCGUUAUCAGCACCUGAAUCAAGUCACAAUAUUCAGCAUACGAAUCAAUUCAGGUUUCUAGACAAGGCUGCCGCGGUGCUGCCCCCGUUAGACAAGACAUGCACGGCGUUGCCGAUGUGUUCAUGGAGUCUCUGCACAGUGACCCAAGUUGAGGAGCUGAAGAUACUGCUACGGAUGUUACCCGUCUGGGCGUCGUUCGUGAUCUUCUACUCAGUCGCUGGGCAAAGCGCAUCGACAUUUAUCGAGCAGGGGAUGGUCAUGGACAACCACGUCGGCCAGUUCGCAAUCCCACCUGCCUCCCUCUCUAUUGUCAGCGUGUUCAGCGUCCUUAUUGGGGUUUUCAUCUACGAAUCCGUGCUAGUGCCACUCGUGCGGCGUUAUACCGGCAAGGCGAAGGGCUUCUCGCAGACGCAGCGCCUUGGAAUUGGCUUUGCACUGUCCAUGCUGACCAUGGUGUACUCAGCAAUGCUUGAGAUGAAAAGGCUGGCCAUCGCGCAAGCCAGUGGCCUGGCAGACCAGAAUGUGCCUGUGCCAGUGAGCAUUCUGUGGCAAGUUCCUGCAUAUGUAAUGCAAGGUACAGCUGGGGUUUUCGCAGGAAUCGGAAUGGUGGAGUUCUUCUACGAUGAGGCCCCUUACACCGUGAAGAGCCUUUGUGCAGCAUUCUCGCAGCUUGCAGUUGCGUCCGCGGCUUACUUCAACGCACUCGUAUUUAGUGUUGUUGCGGUGGCCACGAAGCACGGUGGUGCGCCUGGAUGGAUCCCGGAUAAUCUGAAUGAAGGGCACUUGGACUAUUUCUUCUGGAUGAUGGCUGCUCUUAGCUUACUGAAUCUGGCGCAAUUUGUGCACUACUCCAUGAGGCAUAGAGAGAAGACAACUUCUUGA
rnacentral:rRNA from 1 species